CCAAUAGCACCGGACCACCACCAGCUCAUAGUUGCUCAGAUUGAGAGAUCCAAUCAAAAAAAUGAAGAGAGGAGAAGUAAACUAAAAGGUUGGUGAAUCUGAAUGUAUUUUUGCUUCUUAUAAUACUUGAAUAUUUGUGUACCCAAAAAAGUACUUGAAGAUUCGUGUCAAACGAGGAUGAACGUUGACUCGUGUCGUCGUUAUCUAGUGUGAAUUUGAAAAAAUUGUUGGUACAGAUUACGUAAAUAAAUAAAUAUCUAUUUGAAUGAAAGAGGAGCAUUAAAAACGAGUUCCAAUACUUUCUUUAAAGUUAUUAAAAAAUAAGAAACAGAUCGUAAAGUAAAUAAUCUCAAUCAAUCUGAAUUAGAUUAUUUAAGUUUUUUCUUUUAUUCAAUUUAGAAAAUCUAUAUCCAAAAAUAUAAUAUUAAUUUUCAUACAAUGACUUCUAACUCUACCGUCCCACCGGCCACCAUGAUUGUAUUUGCAAAAUAAUUUUUUUAAGCGGAAUAUUUUUUCAAAUUUAAAGCAUAUAUAAUUAUUAAAUACCAGUAUUUGAAUUAUUUAAGUUAUUAUCUUUCACUUUUUAUUUAUAUUGUAUUUUCUUUUUUUUAGUUAUUAUCUUUAACCUAUUAUUUUUAAAUAAAAUAUCUUUAUACCUUUUUAAUUUAAUUUCAAAAAUUAUUUCAGUCUUUUAUUUUCUUUUUAUAAUUUUAAAUAAUAAUUUGAUCAUUUAUGUAUUAAAAUAUUAAGAAUGUUAUUAUUUUUAUAUAAACUAAUAAAAUUUGUCGUCAUCUUUAAACAAAAUUCAAAAAAUUCAUUAUCAAUUUCAAUAAAAUUCAUAUAUUGAUCAAAUUAAUAACUCAACUCUUCAAAUAAACUGAUAUAUUAAUCUCCAACAAUAUCAAAUCUAUCAAAUAAAUAACCUACAUUUUAAGAUUUGAUCUCCAAAACACCGAGACAAUAUAUUUUUCUUUUUAUUUUUCUCUAAUCUAAAUAUGAAAAUAUGUGUUCUUUAUUUAAUGUUGUUGUUGGAAAUGAAAUAUGAACUUAUUUGAAUAUUAAAGUUAUGAAUUUGAUGAAAAUAAAUAUUUCAUUGAAGAUGAUCACUAAUUUUUUUUAUCUUUUUUUGAAGAUGAUAAUUUUUUUCGAUUUAUAUAACAAAAAUAAUAACAUUGUUAAUAUUUUAAUAUAUAAAAAGUUAAAUAAAUAAUUAAUUAAAAGAAAAAAAAAGAUUAAAUUGUUAUCUAAAUUUAAAUUAAGAGACUGUAAAAUAUAUUUUAUCUAAUUUUUAAUACGUGAAAAGUGAUAAAAUUUAUUAAUUAUUGUAAAAUAAAUGAAGUAGGGUUCACAAAAAAUGGAUAAUAUUGUCUUUAUUUAUGGAAAUUAAAUGGUUUUAUUUUUCAAAACUAUAUAUUACGAGGAUAUUAACAAACUGACAAACAUUCCUAACUAGAUAAAUUAUUUAUUAAAAAAUUAAUUAUAUCAAUUUCUAAUACAUUGUAUGGCUUCCAUGAAAAUUCUUUAUCUUUGACUAGAAGAUUCUUUUAAAUUUGGCGUGGAUUAAUAAAAUAUCCUAUUUAAUUUAAAAUUUAUAAUUUAGAAUUGGGAAAUGUUGAUCCAUUUUAUCUGUUUUAUGAUAACAAUAUCUAGAAAAGUGAUUAGCAAAAAAUAACAUACAUUUUAUAUUAAUAUUUUUAAAAGUUAUUUAUUUUAAAAUGAAUUUAUUUUUCAAAUCAAUCAAUGAUCGUAAAUUAAAAGAAUAUGUUAUUUUUUAGGUAGAACGUGAAGGAGUAAAUUUCUUUGACUAAAAUGGUUAAUUAUUUUUCCAGAUGUCACGUUACUGAUCACAAGAUGUGUGGGAAUGGGAUCCCCUCGGAAUCGGAACAAUAGGGAAUUGAUGGGUGGCUUGUGUGGUUGACGAGCAGAGUACACAAGGUGUCUUGGGAAACAUAAUUGCUAUUUAGAAGGAAGGUAUGUUUUCCAAUACAGAAGGCCGUGCCAUUUUGGACGGAGAGGCUCGG
rnacentral:lncRNA from 1 species